UCCUUCACUGUCUACCCGCCCCCUGACAUCCUUAGACUGUACUGAUGCACUAUUGAAGUUUGUGGUUAGCUACGCGUUGACAAUAGGACCUGUGGGUUUAUCCGUGGUCCAAAUCAAACUGUGGGGUCGCUGUGCGCCUCGGCGCGCUCUCGCUCGUGUCAUCCCCAGCUCUGCUCAUCACGCUCCGGCUACACAGCUGCUUAGCACGCGGGCUAACCGCGCACAGGCUGGCGGUGUUGUGAUCCUGUCCUGCCUUUUAUCUCGUUGUUAUGUUCUGCCUCGCGUUCUGCUGAAACAGAAUCUCUGCCUCUCUCGUCAGCUGACCGGGAGCUGCCAUGGAGUGCCGUGUUCUGUCCAUACAAAGCCAUGUAGUCCGGGGAUAUGUGGGCAACAAGAGCGCGUCUUUCCCAUUACAGGUUUUAGGCUUUGAGGUGGACUCCAUUAACUCAGUGCAGUUCUCCAACCACACUGGAUACAGCCAUUGGAAAGGCCAGGUGUUGACGGCAGAUGAGCUUCAUGUUCUUUAUGAAGGAAUUAAACUGAACAACGUGCACCAGUAUGACUAUGUUUUAACAGGGUAUACCAGAGACACAUCGUUCUUAGAGAUGGUGGUAGACAUUGUUCAGGAGCUAAAGAGAGCUAACCCCAACCUGGUCUAUGUGUGUGACCCAGUCCUUGGUGAUCAUGGAUCUAUGUAUGUGCCACAGAAUCUAUACCCAGUCUACAAGAACAAGGUGGUUCCAGUAGCGGACAUCAUCACUCCUAAUCAGUUUGAGGCUGAGUUGUUGACUGGGAAGACUAUCAGCUCACAGAAGGAUGCUGUGGAGGUAAUGGACCUUCUUCACGCCAUGGGCCCUGACACAGUGGUCAUCACUUCAUCGGACUUGCCACCCAGAUUAGGAGACCGCUUCCUCGUGUCUCUGGGCAGCCAGCGCCAUGUUCAUCCAGAUGGCAGCCGGACGACUGAGAGGGUCCGAAUUGAAGUCCCAAAAGUGGAUGCUGUGUUUGUUGGAACUGGAGAUUUGUUUGCUGCUAUGCUGUUAGCAUGGACGCAUCACUAUCCUAAUGACCUGAAGACUGCGUGUGAGAAGACUUUUUCUGUGAUGCACCAUGUAAUCCAGAGGACAAUAUCUUAUGCUCAUGAGUUGGCAGGUCCCGGCCGAAGACCCAGCCCCCCACAGCUGGAGCUGCGCAUGGUUCAAAGUAAAGCUGACAUAGAAGACCCAGCUAUUGUUGCGGAAGCCACACUCAUAUCCUAACAUUACCCACCUCUAAGACUCAUAACGCCCGUGUUUGCGCCACCAUAGACCUCUUAAUGAAUUUACAUCAUAGUUUCUCUCAGCACUUCAUCUGUGAACCUGGAUGUUCCCACUUUAACAUUUGUCCUUUUAUCCUUUACACUAUCCCUUUAAGUCCGUAGUGUCCUUUCCCUUUAAAGAGGCCUUUGCCAAGAGCCCCAGUUUGUGAGCCAUAGUCAGAAAGUUUGUGAAUUUAACUAUUUUAGUGUGAACAAGUCCAAUUUCAGUAGUGCCAAUCUUUACAAAACAAAUUGCAAAAUAUACAAGUGUGUUUAAGCAAUCCCACACACAUGCAGAUACAUGAUUUCUAAUACCAUACGAAAUAUUAAAAAAUGUUGUAAGACAGACCAAACCCUUUCUUUCAAUGGCUCCACCCCUCAUCCUACUUAUCCUACUGCUGUGUUGUAAUAGUGACCAAGUCAUAUCCUUAGGAUUAAAUCCAAAACAAAUAGACAAAAAAAAAACGCACAAUGUAUAGUUGAUGUAUAGGUGUUGUACUGAAACUGUAUCAGACAUUUUGUCAAUGCUGUUUUACUAGAAACAAAUAGGAUCCACACAGUUGCUUCAGUGGCCUGUUGCAGCUCUCUCAUCUGGAAGUCUUCAUCUCAAUAUAAGUACAAGCUGCUGUAUCCACUAGGCAAGCACUGAGCCCAGAAGGCCAUAGCUAACAUGGACCACCGAAAAUGUGGAUCAGUAGAAGAGAAGAAAAAAAAAAAUCUACCAAAACCUAUGCUUCUACUAAAUCAGAAGAAUUCUUACUUAAAUUAAAGAGUUGUGUGAGUGAAUUUUGCCUUCUGUUGUAACACAAUGAUACAAGGCAAAUACUGAGUUCGUGUACAAUAGAGUACAAUGAUGUGGCCUCUGCAUAGUGUGACUUUCUGGGCCCAGAGCACCUCUGACACUGCCUCUGUCUCCUGCUCACUGAUAGAGUACUGACUAUAGACACAACAUUUGUACUUGGUUGAGUUUUGACACAAAUCAAAUUAAUUUCUCUCACUUAGUCAUGAUAAUGUUUGAAGAAAAUAAUGGGGAAAAACAUGCUUUUAUACUGUGUCCUUUUCCAUGCCUAGGGAGUUGAGUCACAUACAUUUUACAUAUUUGUACAUCAGUAUAACGAUAUACUGUAGCUCAUAUCUUAGCUGUGCUCUUGUGUGUUUAUGAGUGUGUACCUGUGUGUGUCUGUGUGAAUGUGACUGUAUCAUAUCAUUAUGGCUACAGGGUGUGUGUAUCUGUGUGUUAUGUUGAAGGGGCCUGUAACAUGAGGAGCUCUCACAAACCAUAGACCCGACCUAAUUUCAGUCAUUUUCAUGUUGUAUAACCCUGACAGCACUCACAGACAGGACUGUCCAUACAGUGCAUGGGGAAUGGUUCAACUCUACCUGUACGAUCGUUGUGGUGAAGGGACCAGUGUCUUGCAGCAUAGUGUGCCCUCUAGUGGUAGUCUUGCGUAACAGCAGGAAGCUGAGCCUAAUGAUGACAUCAAUGUGCACAACAUUAAAGAAUGUUCCUUGAAACAGGUACUCUCACUUGUGAAUGCUACUCCAGUCUCACCAGCAAAAUGCAGGGAGCAAAACACCAGUUAACUGAGCAUUCAGAAGGACAUGGCAAGGCUAAUUUUGAACUGGACUUGUAUGAUUUAAGCCGCUGUGCUGCCUGUUACAACCACAGACCUCGUUACACUGAUCAUGAGUCCAGUUCUUCAGAGGGUUCUGGGCCUGACACCGACUCUGAGUCCAGCUCCUGCAGCAGCUCAGAGAUGGACUUUGACGAACUGAGCACAUAUGACACAUCUGCACACUGCACUGUGGCUCCAGGCUCAUCUGUCCUGGAGAGCCCAGGCCCACCUGUCCUGGAGAGUCGAAGCUCACCUGUCCUGGCAAGUCCACCACCAGGGAGCGACUCAGCAGAGAGGAGGCGCACCAACAGGAGGACAGUCUCUGUGCGUUCUGAUAGUGUACUGCUGGAGACCCCCAAAGUGACUUCUGUCCUUAACCUACAGGUUUUACCUCCAAGACACACAUAUGACCCUCACUACACCAUCCGUCGCUGCCCAGAGGACAUGGGACCCUCAGUGCCACAUGAAAGAGGAGAACCUAGUCCAGUGGAGCCCACUGUACCAGUGCAGCAGACCCCGGUAAUGCCCCUCCAGAGUAAUGUCCACUGGCCUCAGUAUGUGUCUCUCCCAUCUCUGCUCCAGAGCGCUCCCUCCCCUCCUGUGCAAGCAGUGCACUUUGUUCCACAAUACAGCCAUACACAGGUGCACUAUGGGCCAUAUGAUCCUGCUCUGCUCCAUGGCCUGGGAUCAAGCCAAUCGUACUACCAACCUUUGGGACCACGGCAGUAGUUAUUUUUUAAAUUCUCAUUUGUCUCAUCCAUGAAUACAACAGUGUUGAAAUAUUUGGUCACAGUGAACUGUGUAUUCCUGUUCCUGUUUUAUGCAACAUUUUGUGGACCUUUAACCAUUGAAAAGUUAUAUUAUGUUUUUAAAUUGUUGA